rnacentral:rRNA from 1 species
UGUAUCAGUUGGAACUGUCGGGGGCUUGGGAACCCCAAGGCAGUUCGAGAGCUUCGCAUCAUUAUGAAGCUAGAAGGUCCCUCUCUUGUCUUUGUUAUGGAAACGAAGAUAAGAGGUAAAAGAGUGGAGGAUUUGCAGCAUACUCUUGGCCUUGGAGGAUGUUUUGCAGUGGACAGCGUUGGGUUAAGUGGUGGAGUUGGCCUUUUUUGGUCUAAAGAUGUUAAAGUUGAACGUAAGAAUUAUAGCACCUCUCAUAUAGAUGUCCUGGUGCAGAAUAAAGAUAUGAACUCGCCGGUUUGGAGGUUCACCGGCUUUUAUGGAGCACCCAGAGCAACAGAUAGGCAUAAUAGCUGGCACUCCAUGCGUACGUUGCAUGCCUUGCAGCAUCAGGCAUGGCUUUGUAUGGGAGACUUCAAUGAAACACUCUACGCUUGGGAGCACUUCAGUAGAUCGCUGCGACCUGAGGCACAAAUGAGAGCAUUCAGAGAAGUUAUUGAUGAUAUUGCCUUCCAGGAUUUAGGUUGGUCUGGCACAGCUUAUACAUAG